rnacentral:ncRNA from 1 species
AUAGUCUUGGGAUGACUUAAAAAGCACCCUGGUCGGGAUGGGUUCUUACGACCCCUCGGGUUUCUUGCUUUUCCAUAAGAGCAAGUGGUGGAGCUGAGU